rnacentral:rRNA from 1 species
GUCGAACGAUGAUCCAGGAGCUUGCUCUUGGGGAUUAGUGGCGAACGGGUGAGUAACACGUGAGCAAUCUGCCCUUCACUCUGGGAUAACCUCCGGAAACGGAAGCUAAUACCGGAUAUGACGCACGGAGGCAUCUCCUGUGCGUGGAAAGAACUUCGGUGAAGGAUGAGCUCGCGGCCUAUCAGGUAGUUGGUGAGGUAACGGCCCACCAAGCCUACGACGGGUAGCCGGCCUGAGAGGGUGACCGGCCACACUGGGACUGAGACACGGCCCAGACUCCUACGGGAGGCAGCAGUGGGGAAUAUUGCACAAUGGGCGCAAGCCUGAUGCAGCAACGCCGCGUGAGGGACGACGGCCUUCGGGUUGUAAACCUCUUUUAGUAGGGAAGAAGCGAAAGUGACGGUACCUGCAGAAAAAGCACCGGCUAACUACGUGCCAGCAGCCGCGGUAAUACGUAGGGUGCAAGCGUUGUCCGGAAUUAUUGGGCGUAAAGAGCUCGUAGGCGGUUUGUCGCGUCUGCUGUGAAAACCCGAGGCUCAACCUCGGGCCUGCAGUGGGUACGGGCAGACUAGAGUGCGGUAGGGGAGAAUGGAAUUCCUGGUGUAGCGGUGGAAUGCGCAGAUAUCAGGAGGAACACCGAUGGCGAAGGCAGUUCUCUGGGCCGUAACUGACGCUGAGGAGCGAAAGCGUGGGGAGCGAACAGGAUUAGAUACCCUGGUAGUCCACGCCGUAAACGUUGGGCGCUAGAUGUGGGGACCAUUCCACGGUUUCCGUGUCGCAGCUAACGCAUUAAGCGCCCCGCCUGGGGAGUACGGCCGCAAG